GUUGAGACUCAUCACUUGACCUGACUCCCUGCUGUAGAAUAAAACCAACUAGACUAGUGUUUGCUCUGGGCCUCCUCUGAAGAACAUAUGUAGAUUCCCGGGAGCCAUGAGCCUCUUGAUUUCCCAGAACCUUUGGCUGAGCAAGGGACCCAGAAACGGUAAAUGGAAAAUAAAUGACUGUUCAAAGAGAUUUCCCAAGAAAUUCAUCUCCAAGGACUGCUACUCUUAUCAAGUGGCCACGCCCUUUGUAACCACAGCAUAUUGGGGACGAUCUGGCAAUCGAGAACACAAAAAAACCCAUGCUUCUUCACAUUGCUUGCUUCCAGUUGGCAACCAGAUACUUCUGGCAAGGACCAGUAGGAUGGAAAGCAGGAGGACAAAGGGAAAAACCUGGCUUCCAGAAAUGACUUAG
rnacentral:lncRNA from 1 species